GACAAUUGUCAUUAGCCAUGGUUGGCUAGCUGUUGAAAUCAGUAGUACAAUUAGUUGUUGUAAUGGUAGGUUGGAAUAAUAGCUCUUAUCUUAGUUUGUGGUUGGGUCAUCUAUUGGGCCUGUGUUUGGGUCUAUGUUGCUCAUUACAUGACGUCCUUUAACACCUAGUGAUAUGCUUUCAUACUUGAAUUCUUGAGCCCGUU
rnacentral:lncRNA from 1 species